GAUGAACGCUGGCGGCGUGCCUAAUACAUGCAAGUCGAACGGGGAGUAGCAAUACUCUUAGUGGCGAACGGGUGAGUAACGCGUUGGUACCUGCCCCGAAGCGGGGGAUAACGGACCGAAAGGUCCGCUAAUACCCCAUGUGCUCGGUAACGAGUAAAGGUGAAAACCACUUUGGGAGGGGCCUGCGUCCCAUCAGCUAGUUGGUAAGGUAACGGCUUACCAAGGCGAUGACGGGUAGGGGACCUGAGAGGGUGGCCCCCCACAAUGGAACUGAAACACGGUCCAUACACCUACGGGUGGCAGCAGUAGGGAAUAUUGGUAAUGGGCGCAAGCCUGAACCAGCAACGCCGCGUGUGCGAUGACGGCCUUCGGGUUGUAAAGCACUUUUGACUGGGACGAGGAAGGACGGUACCGGUCGAAUCAGCCGCGGCUAACUACGUG
rnacentral:rRNA from 1 species